rnacentral:lncRNA from 1 species
UGCGAGGCUGAGAGUGUAGUAUAGCGGGGGACGAGGUCAAAUAAGGAAUAUUCUCUAUAUUCAGAAUCAUGGCCCAUCGACCUACCCUAAUUUCUGUGACGAGUGUCAUCUCAAAAGCAUCAGCUGGAUGACUCUUAACGAUAUGCGCCAUGGUUAAACCGACAAGGAAAAAGUAUUAAAAAUGAAAAAAUUGUUCAUGAAUUUGAUAAAAG